CUGCCUUGGUAGCCGCCGCCGCCGCCGCCGCCGCCGCCGUCGCCGCUGCCGCUACGCGCGUUCCCUUCGCGACCGAAUUAACUGGUACCAGAACAGAGGAGAAGCAUAUCAGCGAAACGCGGCGACAGGACAACAAGGCAAAGCCACUUAUUUAGCCAGCCAGUCAACGCCGUUGCGCGCCGUCGAAGGCAGAGUCCUGCUCAUGUCAUCCUCGUUGUUACAGGACGCCUGCGACAGAAGCAGUAAGUGGUGAUAUAGCAAGAACAACGUGACACACUCUCGCGCGCUCGAGUUGCACGAAAUCGUGACGCGGACGCAGUAGCCGUCGUGCGGAUGCGGACGGCCGGCCGGCAUCAGCCACAGCUGCAACAGUAAAGUGGUGGUAAAUUGCUGCUAGUUUUCCUCGUUAUUUCUGGUGCCACCGUUGCAUUGGUGUCGGUUAUAGUGAUAGUUCGCGCACAAAGCGCAAACGGAGCGCGUGUAGGACCCGCUGGCGUCUUCGGCACUCUCUGGGAUCUACCUAACGCGAGUGCCUACAGUUAGGCAGCACAGCGUACCUAGAGCAAUUACGCGGCUGGUAGCAGCGGCGGUGGCGGCUGUUGCAAUACUGGAAACGGUGCCGCUCUGGUUAUCGCUAUCACCAGCACUAACAGCGUGUAAAAGCGUGACUACACUUUCUAAUGAGAGAUACGAGGGCGGGUGGGAGGCUGGUCAGGUAGGCAGGCAAAAGUGAGCCAGGCAACAGGCGGAAAAGCGAUGAGAAAGGUUUCUGUGCAACGAUGACUGAUGCCGCAUAAAAAGCAGUAGCAGUGGGGACCUGCAAUGGAAAACAGAGCCUAUCUGUAAUUAGCGAGACUAGUGCGCGCUAAGGGAUAUUACGCAAGUUCAAUUUAAAGUUAAUUUGGCCGAUUACGAGCAGAUAUCCAGCUAUGUUCAUCUAGCUGGUCUUCCGUUCUGCCAGCGCCACCGUAUUCGUAACGCGGCCAAAGGCUGUUGCUUUGCACGCACAGAACGAAGAGUGUACCGCUGGCCGAGUGCCACUAAUCGUCUAUUACUUUCGCUAGUGUACACCGACAUCACUGAUAUUUUUACUGCCCCUUGCGUUUAUCUAUGCAUUGAAAUUGCGGACGUGCUCUCGAUGACGCCUUGUUCUUGCCAAGAAACAAAAGGGAAAAUAAUAGUAAGGCGACAGAUGUCGAUAGUGAUUUUUAAUAGACCUAACGUAUCAGCCAAAAGGUAUUUUCGACCGUAGCAAUCAGAGGAGGUACAUGGACCGCACGAGGCUAGUUAAUACUACCUACCAAUCCCAAAUGACACCCGGUGGCAUGAAGCAUGACUGUGUGCUGGCGUAGGACAAGGUUGAUUGAACUAAUAUUGCAGUAAUUUUCUAAUCUACUGAUGCGUUCUACUGCCACACUAGAUCUUAAAUCUGUCCUGCUAGUCUUUGUGUUCCGUGUACUGAUUAACGCACCUAUCAGUGUAUAUCGCCUACCUUAGGAUUAAGUUUGUAGACCCCCCCCCCUCUCUCCCCCCUCUCUCUCUCUCGUCUUACUGGUGAGCAGCUCGCAGUGGGUGGAUGGAUGAAUUACAAGUGAACGGACCUGUAGUUUCUUUCUCCAUUUGUGGGCGGUAAAUGCGCGCGCGUCUACCAGCAACGUGUUAUACAUUCAAAUGCGUAUAACAACCGGGCCUGUAUUUAAUAAACGCCACUAAGUUUCUCAUCGGAAACGGACUCUCCCCUUCACUGAAUCUACCUAUACGUUAAGUGCUAAUGGAAGUAACGUUGGGUGUUCGCUUAUUUUCUCAUACUUGAAUUCUAUGACUUAAGUAGCGACCAACAGAGCUAUUUGAGGGUGAAGAUGGACUUUACGACGGCAGGACGGGUUGACGGACAAAAGGACGUACGCGACAAGGAAAGGCAACAGGUUAACAAGCUUGAAUUUAACUAGUGUGAUACUGCUGGGUUAGCUUAAAAGAGACCCGCAAAAUAGAAGUUUAGCGUUCGGUGCUAGGUUACCGGCAAAUGUCCCGUCGGGUUGACAGGUUGCAACGACAACAACUGCGCAGGCAUCAAAGGUCAUGGCGUUAUAGUGACACAACAACAUCAAGAACUCAACAUAAAGCCAAACACGAGCCACCGGUAUUUAGGGACAGCACGUUUCGCUCAUCCAACAAACAAAGGCAAAGUAAUAGUUGCAACACGUCAAUGUUCCUCCUGUAUGCGGCAAUAACUGGCACAACUGAGGGCUCCUGCUGCCCCCUCAAAAAGAUAACAGAGAAGGAAAUAAUGGUAAACACAAAUGUCAAACUUAUUCUUAUUCGUGAACAAGCCCAAAAGUAUAAAACACCCAAACGAGCGUAGAUCUCGGGACGUUAGCACUUGAGGUCUGUAGCAAUGGCAACAUGAGGUCAAAACUUGAGAGCGCCGCGCACACAAAAGUUAACUGCUGACACUUCAGAGGAGUGCAAGAAGCCGACAAAGCAGCGGGCUUCUGCUGGACGACUGUGCCGGAGCUCACGAACCAAGCGAGACGCUCCUGUUUCGAACGAGAAUCACAGCCGCUGCAGCUGCCAAAAGGGCAAUGGUAAGAGUUGGUUACACUAUACCCAUGAAAGUUCAAAGAAUCGCGACCGUCGAUUUUGUUUACCCACUCGGAGACACGAAAUUGUGGUGACGAUGUAGAUAAUGCCACAUUUCUUAAUAAUCCUUCUUGAAAGGCGUACUAGUUGGUACUAAUUCUUUACUUAGCUACCUAGCUAAAACUAUCCUAACUAAAAAAUAAUACUCUGUCUAUAAGUAUCGAUAAAAAUGCUUAUAUCUAAAAAGCGACACAAAGUAUGUUUUCGAAAUAGUUCAUCAUAGUUUUAGCAAUUAUGCCUAAUAUCGUCGUUACAAUUGAUCGCAUAUACAUCCGUAGCCAUGUUGGA